UAGGGAAUCUUCCGCAAUGGACGCAAGUCUGACGGAGCAACGCCGCGUGAGUGAAGAAGGAUUUCGGUUCGUAAAACUCUGUUGUUAGAGAAGAACAGCGCAUAGAGUAACUGUUAUGCGUGUAACGGUAUCUAACCAGAAAGCCACGGCUAACUACGUGCCAGCAGCCGCGGUAAUACGUAGGUGGCAAGCGUUGUCCGGAUUUAUUGGGCGUAAAGCGAGCGCAGGCGGUCAAUUAAGUCUGAUGUGAAAGCCCCCGGCUCAACCGGGGAGGGUCAUUGGAAACUGGUUGACUUGAGUGCAGAAGAGGAGAGUGGAAUUCCAUGUGUAGCGGUGAAAUGCGUAGAUAUAUGGAGGAACACCAGUGGCGAAGGCGACUCUCUGGUCUGUAACUGACGCUGAGGUUCGAAAGCGUGGGUAGCAAACAGG
rnacentral:rRNA from 1 species